AGGAACCGACCAACCCCUACUUGUUACAAACAUUAAAUUAUAACUGACAUCGUACGGCGCAGUGUAGUUACGUAAUAAUAUGCCAACAUGAACGUUUCUGUAAUUGCCUAGGUCUCGCCCCUGUCGAGUUAAUAGGAUUUUCACACUAGCCUAUGUAUUUAAUAUUGUUUGUCUAUAUUUUAUAGAUGUUUUCAAACACAGAUAUAAAUUCUUCAAUAAUAUUGUUAUCUACGGAAAACAACAUUGAUAUUCAUCGG